rnacentral:rRNA from 1 species
UACGGAGGAUCCAAGCGUUAUCCGGAUUUAUUGGGUUUAAAGGGUGCGCAGGCGGAAGAUUAAGUCGGCGGUGAAAUUUUGCAGCUCAACUGUAAAAGUGCCAUCGAUACUGGUUUUCUUGAGUGUGGAUGAAGUAGGCGGAAUUUGUGGUGUAGCGGUGAAAUGCAUAGAUAUCACGAGGAACUCCGAUUGCGCAGGCAGCUUACUAGGCCAUAACUGACGCUCAGGCACGGAGGCGUGGGGAUCAAACAGGAUUAGA